CUUUUGGAUGUUGUACUUUUGGAUCGUCGUCUACGACUACUUUUUUUGUCCUAGUUUCCCAAUUCACCACGCAACUCUCCCCACAGCUUCAUUUCGGCAGGGAGUUUUUCAGAAUAAUCGGAUCGUUGACUGGCCUUAUCUUAUCUUGACUGACAAAGAAAUAGAAGGCUAAUUUCUGAUGAAAUCCAGUUGAUGAUUGAAUGGCGACUCCACCAAGUCCCAUCAUCGGCGAACGCCGCCCACUCUGACAUUUUUAGGUGGUGACCUGUAUUCGCGAAGCUGACUCACUUGGGCCGUUGUAUUCUUGGGAUAUAGUAGUUUACAUGGCCACUUUGGCCAGGGGAACUGAUACCGUGAAGCUAUGGACUGCCAUGUGAAAGAAAAGACCUAUCUCUAAAUGACAACUGGGGGAUUGCAGCUGCGAAACGUGGAAAUCCAGGGGGAAAAAGAAUCGGAAAUAAUUUCCCCUCUGAGAUUAACUUCUAGACCGACUGGAUUUAUCUAUUGUAUGUACAAUAACGAAUGUGUAACCAGCGCUGGCUUCUACAGAAGAUCAGGUAAGAAAUAAAUUCUGUCAACUUGUUUUUUUUACAUUAAAACAACCAAACAUGUAGCGCGGUAUUUUGUAAAUUAAUAUUCGUUGGUGUUAAUCGAUCAAAAGGUUGACAAAAAAUUGAGGUUACGCUAAUUUUCUUUGCAUUGCUUUAAGCUCAUUCAUGUCACACCGUAAAACAAUGCGAUAUCUUUGAAAGCCAAACAAAACAACAACUCCCCUAGUUGCCCCAGUCGAUGUUGUAUGUCAGUGACGCAUCGCAGUGCGGUUAUAUGGGCCAGUCUCACGACUCGGGAAUAUUCUUUCAAUUCUCGCUGCUGCUGCUGUAGUUGUCGAGCGCCUCCCGCUCCCGGCGUUUGCCAAGUGCCACCUCACUGAGCGCCACGCAUUUUAUAACGCUGAUG